UGAUGAUGAUGAUGAUGAUGAUGAUGGUGAUGAUGGUGGUGAGGGGUACAGCAUAGUACUACUAUAUAUGCAGAUCAUCAUCAUUAUUAUCACCAUCAUCAUCAUAAUCAUCA
rnacentral:pre_miRNA from 1 species